rnacentral:tRNA from 1 species
GCCACAAUAGCUCAGUUGGUUAGAGCGUUGCUUUUGUAAAGCAAAGGUCGUGAGUUCAAUUCUCACUUGUGGCU